rnacentral:rRNA from 1 species
UACGUAGGGCGCGAGCGUUGUCCGGAAUUAUUGGGCGUAAAGGGCUUGUAGGCGGUUUGUCGCGUCUGCCGUGAAAUCCCCUGGCUUAACUGGGGGCGUGCGGUGGGUACGGGCAGGCUUGAGUGCGGUAGGGGAGACUGGAAUUCCUGGUGUAGCGGUGGAAUGCGCAGAUAUCAGGAGGAACACCGGUGGCGAAGGCGGGUCUCUGGGCCGUUACUGACGCUGAGGAGCGAAAGCAUGGGGAGCGAAC